UACCAUUUAAAAUGCUUUUCAUUCCUAUUAUCACUUCUGAAUAGCCAUAUCCAUCACACAUCCACUAUCAGAAAGAAACUCUGGAGAAAGCUGAACUGCAGGUUUUCAAAAAAGAAGCACCCCCUCAUGCAAGUAUUUUGGCCUUUAACUACUUACAUUUGUAGGGUGUUGAGCCUUAUCCAAGUCAUGAUUCUUGGAUACUCAUCUGUUCCAACAUAUUUAUUUC